rnacentral:rRNA from 1 species
UACGGGGGGUGCGAGCGUUGUCCGGAAUCACUGGGCGUAAAGGGCGCGUAGGUGGUCUGAUAAGGGUGUGGUGAAAGUCCGGGGCUCAACCCCGGAUCUGCCGUGCCGACUGUCAGACUCGAGGACUGUAGAGGGCAGGCGGGAAUUCCGGGUGUAGCGGGUGGAAUGCGUAGAGAGUCCGGAGGAAGACCGGUGGCGGAAGGCGGCCUGCUGGGCAGGUUUCUGACACUGAGGCGCGACAGCGUGGGGAGCAAACAGGG